rnacentral:tRNA from 1 species
GCACUGAUGGUUCAGUGGUAGAAUUCUUGCCUUCCAGGCCAGAGGCCCAGGUUUGAUUCCUGGCCAAUGCG